rnacentral:rRNA from 1 species
UACGUAGGGUGCGAGCGUUAAUCGGAAUUACUGGGCGUAAAGCGUGCGCAGGCGGUUUUGUAAGCCAGAUGUGAAAUCCCCGGGCUUAACCUGGGAAUGGCAUUUGGGACUGCAAGGCUGGAGUGUGGCAGAGGAGACUGGAAUUCCUGGUGUAGCAGUGAAAUGCGUAGAUAUCAGGAGGAAUACCGAUGGCGAAGGCAGGUCUCUGGGCUGACACUGACGCUCAUGCACGAAAGCGUGGG